AUUGAACGCUGGCGGCAGGCCUAACACAUGCAAGUCGAGCGGAUGAAGGGAGCUUGCUCCUGGAUUCAGCGGCGGACGGGUGAGUAAUGCCUAGGAAUCUGCCUGGUAGUGGGGGAUAACGUCCGGACACGGGCGCUAAUACCGCAUACGUCCUGAGGGAGAAAGUGGGGGAUCUUCGGACCUCACGCUAUCAGAUGAGCCUAGGUCGGAUUAGCUAGUUGGUGGGGUAAAGGCCUACCAAGGCGACGAUCCGUAACUGGUCUGAGAGGAUGAUCAGUCACAUUGUAACUGAGACACGGUCGAGACUCCGACGGGAGGAAGCAGUGGGGAAUAUUGGACAAUGGGGGAAAGCCGGAUCCAGCCAUGCCGCGUGUGUGAAGAAGGUCUUCGGCUGGUAAAGCACUUUAAGUUGGGAGGAAGGGCAGUAAGUUAAUACCUUGCUGUUUUGACGGUACCAACAGAAUAAGCACCGGCUAACUUCGUG
rnacentral:rRNA from 1 species